UUUACAGAUUGUGUUUUGUAGCCUAAUCUGAAAUGUUCUAUCAGGUGCUUGAGGGCAAAAUACUACUGAAUUAUGAUUGGCUUGGAAAGAUGAAAGAGAAAAUCAAGCACCCGUGAUCUUGGACCGAGGACAGAAGACCCCCUCAUUAUGAAAGCCUGCCUGUUUUUUCACCAGGAGGCAGGAACAAGGAACCUCUCGAAUCCACUGCUCCCCGUGGGUCACGUUUCGGGGUCAUCUGAACACGCUAGGAGGAGAGCGCCAACUGCCCAGGUCGGCUUCUCUGCACAGGAGAGGGAAAGGAACUCCUGCUUUCAUGGAUUCCCAGCCUUGCAUGUCUAUAGCACUGAAAAUGGGUCAUGCCCCAGUGAUGAUGCCAAGUGCCCUUAGCCAGCAGUGCCACCAUGGGGGCCACCGUUCUGGCUUUCAAAGGGCUGCCCCGUCAGAUCGUCUGCGUUCAUGCACUACGGUCCUUGCAUCAUAGCCAAUGUGUGCGUUGUGUGAGGGAAGUCGAGCUUGUUGCUGAGGUUCCUAGGCCGUUCAGAGACAUUCUUUCCAUGCCAUGUCAUGUGACCAUUGUACCAAGUACCAUAGCUACUGCAUAUCUAAACUUGCCUAGCAAUUAGCCCCUUAAAAAUGAUUAGAGAUGAACCAAUGCAAAUGCACUGAGGUGUAAAGGAACGCCAUGAUUGGGUCAUCCAUAAAACAUAGUUUACAAUGGGGUCGUGACAACCUCUGACCUUUUGACCUUACAUCCAUUCCAUCUGGUGAUCUACUAGAAGGAUUUGCUAGUUUCCCCACUAUGGUCAGUA